UAUUUUGAAUCCACAAGAACUUGCUUUGUCACCCUUAUAUAUCCGCAAUCAUUGAGCCACUUCAAUUUGUAAGGAUGUUGAUGUUUUGUAGUAGACAAUCCUAACUUCUCUAUAAGAGUAGUGCUAGCAACGUUUGUCAUGCUGCCACCAUCAAUUAUCACAUUACAUACACGAUCCUUCACAAGACAUCUAGUAUGAACAAGUUCUCUCUUUGAUCGUAUUCAUCUCAUUGUACUUGUAUAUUUAAAGCUCUUCUUGCUACAAGAACUCUUCUAUUUUUUGUGGUAGUAAAUUCUUCAUCUUCAUCUUCUAUUGCAUCUUCAUAGGAUGGUAUUUCUCCUUGAUUCUCUUCUUUAGUAGCUGAAUAAUACUCUCCAUCAAGCAUAAACAUAGUUCUUUGAUUUGGAUAGUCCCGUUUGGAAUGACCUAUACCAUGAUACUUGAAACAUUUAAUAUUUCUUGCAUUAGUAGUAGAGUCAAUCUUACCCUUAUCUUUACUAGAAUUGGAAGCUUUAGGAACCUCUUUUCCUUGAAUUUGAUUUGAAUGUUGAAGUGUUGGAAGAAAAAU
rnacentral:lncRNA from 1 species